UUUUUUUUUUUUAAAGUUGUCAUCUAAAUUGAUUGUUGUUUCAGAAAGUGUUAGUAAAUUACUGGACAGUAAAAAUAUGAAAACAAAAUAGUCCAUAAUGUAAUUAUUUAUCUUUUUAAGAAUUUUUGGAAAAAAAAUUUUUGUUACGACUAUAUAUAAUAACACUUCAAACGGUUAUAAUUGAUGGAAGAUGCGAUGCUAAUUAAACAAAGAAACCUAAACGCGAAGGCAAAGCUAUCAAGCGUCAAGUGGCGUUUCGCAGUCAAAACAACAGAAAAGCUCAAAACACAGGUGAUGAAAAACGAAUAUUUACAUACGAACAACGAUGCAGCAAAACGAUUCCAAUUUAUAAACAAUGCAGAAAAACUCGUUUUCGAGUAGCUACGUGUGUACGAAUUUCAACAAGUGCUCCGACUCUUCAAAUCUGGAAGCUACAACACGAAAGGUGUAAAAGAAAUGUUAACAGCUUAAUGAGACAUACCUUGAUGCUCAAUUAGGAAACCCCGCAGGCGCCUCAUUUACUGGCAACUUAAACUUCAAAAUUUUAGCAUGAACUUUAAUUGUUGUCAAAAUGUGAUUAUUAAUUCUUUUUCAAAAAUAUAAAAAUACACUUUAAGCCUCUAGUAGGGAAUGUAUAUGAGAGAAGGUCACUAGAGCAGAUAAAACCCGCUUGGUCUGAUUGUGUAUAUUAAUCUUUUCAAAUAAGUUUAAGUGAAAAAUUGUUUCGUUUUUACAAUGUACCACAUUUAUUAUUAUUUUUAAACCAAGUAGAACAAAAGCCACACUUAAAGCUAUCGACGUCAAAAUCUCAUUAGAAAACUAUAUAUCAAACAGCGGGGAAGUUAAACGGCAGCCAGUACCUCGGUGACAUCCAGAACUCAGGCUUAACAAAUUGGUGGCUGAUUAAAAGCGGCAUGAACACCGUUAUUACAAACGCUGGCAAAUGGAUAAGAUAUGUUGAAAGCUUAGUAAUUUGAAACAAAUACAUAACCGGAGACGAAAGCUGCAAUCAAAUUACUGACAAAAAUGUAUUCAAAUUCCAAAUUGCUGAGAGAGAAAUUUUCAUGGAUUUCGUUGUGAAAAACCAAUCGCAUGUUUCAGGGAUUCCGCAGAAAUAGCUUUCUCUAGUUGUUGUCGUUUUCGCUAUGCAAUAAAAUUCUAUGUUGUUAUGAUCUAUCAUUACUUAUUCG